AUUGAACGCUGGCGGCAGGCCUAACACAUGCAAGUCGAGCGGAUGAAGAGAGCUUGCUCUCUGAUUCAGCGGCGGACGGGUGAGUAAUGCCUAGGAAUCUGCCUGGUAGUGGGGGACAACGUCUCGAAAGGGACGCUAAUACCGCAUACGUCCUACGGGAGAAAGCAGGGGACCUUCGGGCCUUGCGCUAUCAGAUGAGCCUAGGUCGGAUUAGCUAGUUGGUGAGGUAAUGGCUCACCAAGGCGACGAUCCGUAACUGGUCUGAGAGGAUGAUCAGUCACACUGGAACUGAGACACGGUCCAGACUCCUACGGGAGGCAGCAGUGGGGAAUAUUGGACAAUGGGCGAAAGCCUGAUCCAGCCAUGCCGCGUGUGUGAAGAAGGUCUUCGGAUUGUAAAGCACUUUAAGUUGGGAGGAAGGGCAGUAAAUUAAUACUUUGCUGUUUUGACGUUACCGACAGAAUAAGCACCGGCUAACUCUGUGCCAGCAGCCGCCGUAA
rnacentral:rRNA from 1 species